rnacentral:rRNA from 1 species
UACGGAGGGUGCAAGCGUUAUCCGGAUUCACUGGGUUUAAAGGGUGCGUAGGCGGGUAAGUAAGGCCGUGGUGAAAUCCUUCAGCUUAACUGGAGAACUGCCAUUGAUACUGAAUAGCUUGAGUAUAGUUGAGGUAGGCGGAAUUGACAGUGUAGCGGUGAAAUGCUUAGAUAUUGUCAAGAACACCGAUUGCGAAGGCAGCUUACUAAACUAUAACUGACGCUGAGGCACGAAAGCGUGGGUAUCAAACAGG